rnacentral:rRNA from 1 species
GAACGCUAGCUACAGGCUUAACACAUGCAAGUCGAGGGGCAGCAUGGUCUUAGCUUGCUAAGGCCGAUGGCGACCGGCGCACGGGUGAGUAACACGUAUCCAACCUGCCGUCUACUCUUGGACAGCCUUCUGAAAGGAAGAUUAAUACAAGAUGGCAUCAUGAGUCCGCAUGUUCACAUGAUUAAAGGUAUUCCGGUAGACGAUGGGGAUGCGUUCCAUUAGAUAGUAGGCGGGGUAACGGCCCACCUAGUCUUCGAUGGAUAGGGGUUCUGAGAGGAAGGUCCCCCACAUUGGAACUGAGACACGGUCCAAACUCCUACGGGAGGCAGCAGUGAGGAAUAUUGGUCAAUGGGCGAGAGCCUGAACCAGCCAAGUAGCGUGAAGGAUGACUGCCCUAUGGGUUGUAAACUUCUUUUAUAAAGGAAUAAAGUCGGGUAUGGAUACCCGUUUGCAUGUACUUUAUGAAUAAGGAUCGGCUAACUCCGUG